UGUUUACUUAUUACGUUUUAACGGAAUCUCCGAUUUCAAAGUUUAGUUUCCUUGAAUGACUCCCAUUUGACAUUGAGACUUUACCACGUAAUACUACUUUACUUAGUAAUGUCAUUUCAAUCGUCACUCUAAUCUUCUUUACUUAGUGAAUAUUAUCAUAUCAUAAUUGAAUUAAAUGCUCAGUCGGUAGCCUAGUGCGCAAAACGUAUUCAACGCAAUUCACAAAUGUAUCAAAAGAGAAAAUCAGGCUUGUGCAUCUGCCCACAAACCUAAAUGCUCACAAAAAUGGACAGUUCCACUUACGUCGGAAGAGUAUGAUGCCCUCCUGCGCGUUGUACCCCGUGAGGAAGGGCACGUCGGCGCCGGGCAGGGUCUCCGCGGGCAGCCGCGUGAGGAAGGCGUCACCCCCCUCGGGCUCCAGCGUGGGCAGGAAGGGUAGCGCCACGGUGCUCUGCAUGUCCGCUGACUUGCCUGGCGCGCUGGACAGCCGAGCCCCUGCCUUUACUAGGAGCUCGCUCGGCGUGGCGCGGAGAAACUUCAUCAUUUUCUAGGCUGAGGAAGCCAAGCGCUCCGAGCCUGUAGUUGAGCGUGACCAGCACGACUCCCGCGCCGACGAGAUGGUCGGGACCAUAGAGGAACGCGUUGCCGGAGCCCAUGGCGAAAGCACCACCG